rnacentral:rRNA from 1 species
UAAUGAACAGAACUGUAGUGACACGGAAGGUAAGACAGAGCCGGGAAUGAGAAAACCGGUGCAAGCACAAUAGAUGUGCGGGAGGAAAAACCCCCGCAUAAGUCGAAGGUGUGACGCGGACCGAAAAAGAGUAGGGAAGCUGUUAAGCAAGCCGUCAAGAAAAGCUGCUAUUGUUUCAUUAUGGCCCGUACCGUAAACCGACACAGGUGGAUGGGGAGAGAAUCCUAAGGCCGGCGGAAGAAGUAUUGUUAAGGAACUCGGCAAAAUGACCCCGUAACUUCGGGAGAAGGGGUGCCUGCGAGAGCAGGCCGCAGAGAAGAGGCCCAAGCAACUGUUUAGCAAAAACACAGGUCUAUGCAAAACCGAAAGGUGAGGUAUAUGGGCUGACGCCUGCCCGGUGCUGGAAGGUUAAGGGGAGUGGUCAGGAAACGAAGCCACGAACUUAAGCCCCAGUAAACGGGGGCCGUAACAAUAACGGUCCUAAGGUAGCGAAAUUCCUUGUCGGGUAAGUUCCGACCCGCACGAAAGGCGUAAUGAUUUGGGCGCUGUCUCGACAAUACAUCCGGUGAAAUUGAAGUGCCAGUGAAGAUGCUGGCUACCUGCGCCAGGACGGAAAGACCCCAUGGAGCUUUACUCCAGCUUGAUACUGGGACCCGGUAUUGCAUGUACAGGAUAGGUGGGAGGCUAGGAAAUGUGGACGCCAGUCUGCAUGGAGCCGCUGUUGGGAUACCACCCUUGUGGUGCUGGGUUUCUAACCAGAGGCCGUGAACCGGUCUGGGGACAAUGUCAGGUGGGGAGUUUGACUGGGGCGGUCGCCUCCGAAAGGGUAUCGGAGGCGCCCAAAGGUUCCCUCAGAAUGGUUGGAAACCAUUCGAAGAGUGCAAAGGCAGAAGGGAGCUUGACUGCGACACCGACGGGUGGAGCAGGUACGAAAGUAGGGCUUAGUGAUCCGGUGGAAUUUAAGUGGGAAUGCCAUCGCUCAACGGAUAAGCUACCCUGGGAUAACAGGCUGAUCACUCCCAAGAGUUCACAUCGACGGAGUGGUUUGGCACCUGAUGUCGGCUCAUCGCAUCCUGGGGCUGAAGUCGGUCCCAAGGGUUGGGCUGUUCGCCCAUUAAAGCGGUACGCGAGCUGGGUUCAGAACGUCGUGAGACAGUCCGGUCCCUAUCCGGCGUGGGCGUAGGAUAUCUGAGAGGAGCUGUCCUUAGUACGAGAGGACCGGGAUGGACUGACCUCUGGUGUACCGGUUGGCGAUCAACGCCACGGCCGGGUAGCCAUGUCGGGACGGGAUAAACGCUGAAGGCAUCUAAGCGUGAAGCCCCCCUCAAGAUGAGAUAUCCCAUCGUAAGAGUAAGACCCCUUGAAGACGACGAGGUUGAUAGGGCAGGGGUGGAAGUGCCGUAAGGCAUGGAGCUGACUGCUACUAAUCGGUCGAGGGCUUGAUCAA